rnacentral:rRNA from 1 species
AACGAACGCUGGCGGCGUGUUUAAGACAUGCAAGUCGCACGGGACAACUUGAGUAGCAAUACGAUGGUUGUUGAGUGGCGCACGGGUGAGUAACACGUGAAUUACAUGCCCUUCAGUGGGGGAUAGCCCAGGGAAACUUGGAUUAAUACCCCAUGGUCUCGCAAGAGUAAAGGUGGCCAGCAAUGGCUGUCGCUGGAGGAUUGGUUCGCGCCCUAUCAGCUUGUUGGCGGGGUAACGGCCCACCAAGGCUACGACGGGUACCUGGUCUGAGAGGACGAUCAGGCACACUGGAACUGAGACACGGUCCAGACACCUACGGGAGGCUG